rnacentral:rRNA from 1 species
UACGUAGGUGGCAAGCGUUAUCCGGAAUUAUUGGGCGUAAAGAGCGCGCAGGUGGUUGAUUAAGUCUGAUGUGAAAGCCCACGGCUUAACCGUGGAGGGUCAUUGGAAACUGGUCGACUUGAGUGCAGAAGAGGGAAGUGGAAUUCCAUGUGUAGCGGUGAAAUGCGUAGAGAUAUGGAGGAACACCAGUGGCGAAGGCGGCUUCCUGGUCUGUAACUGACGCUGAGGCUCGAAAGCGUGGGGAGCAAACAGGAUUAGAUACCCCCGUA